GAUGAACGCUGGCGGCGUGCCUAAUACAUGCAAGUCGAGCGAACAGACGAGGAGCUUGCUCCUCUGACGUUAGCGGCGGACGGGUGAGUAACACGUGGAUAACCUACCUAUAAGACUGGGAUAACUUCGGGAAACCGGAGCUAAUACCGGAUAAUAUAUUGAACCGCAUGGUGCAAUAGUGAAAGACGGUUUUGCUGUCACUUAUAGAUGGAUCCGCGCCGCAUUAGCUAGUUGGUAAGGUAACGGCUUACCAAGGCAACGAUGCGUAGCCGACCUGAGAGGGUGAUCGGCCAGACUGGAAGUGAGACACGGUCCAGACUCCUACGGGAGGCAGCAGUAGGGAAUCUUCCGCAAUGGGCGAAAGCCUGACGGAGCAACGCCGCGUGAGUGAUGAAGGUCUUCGGAUCGUAAAACUCUGUUAUUAGGGAAGAACAAAUGUGUAAGUAACUAUGCACGUCUUGACGGUACCUAAUAAGAAAGCAACGGCUAACUACGUG
rnacentral:rRNA from 1 species